GUUGUACUCAAAUAUUUUGUUAUCAUCAAAAUUGAAAUCUUGGGUCAACAACCAUCUCUCAAGAUCAAUGAGUCAUUUCCGCUGCAGCGAAAUAACAUAAUAAUGGCUAGCUAUUUGCAACGUCUAUGCAUGACUGCAUCAUGAAAUCUGUGUCUAUGAACUCCAAUAUCUAUUAGUGGCUACAGCGAGAUAUUAGCUAUAUAAAGAAGGUUCCAUAGCAUUUAUACACAACAAUAAUGAAAAAGACAAGGAGCUUACAUGAACAAAUACAUAGCCACA
rnacentral:lncRNA from 1 species